rnacentral:rRNA from 1 species
AUGAACGCUAGCUACAGGCUUAACACAUGCAAGUCGAGGGGCAGCAUUUUAGUUUGCUUGCAAACUGAAGAUGGCGACCGGCGCACGGGUGAGUAACACGUAUCCAACCUGCCGAUAACUCCGGAAUAGCCUUUCGAAAGAAAGAUUAAUACCGGAUAGUAUACGAAUAUCGCAUGAUAUUUUUAUUAAAGAAUUUCGGUUAACGAUGGGGAUGCGUUCCAUUAGUUUGUUGGCGGGGUAACGGCCCACCAAGACUACGAUGGAUAGGGGUUCUGAGAGGAAGGUCCCCCACAUUGGAACUGAGACACGGUCCAAACUCCUACGGGAGGCAGCAGUGAGGAAUAUUGGUCAAUGGGCGAGAGCCUGAACCAGCCAAGUAGCGUGAAGGAUGAAGGCUCUAUGGGUCGUAAACUUCUUUUAUAUGGGAAUAAAGUUUUCCACGUGUGGAAUUUUGUAUGUACCAUAUGAAUAAGGAUCGGCUAACUCCGUGCCAGCAGCCGCGGUAAUACGGAGGAUCCGAGCGUUAUCCGGAUUUAUUGGGUUUAAAGGGAGCGUAGGUGGAUUGUUAAGUCAGUUGUGAAAGUUUGCGGCUCAACCGUAAAAUUGCAGUUGAAACUGGGAGUCUUGAGUACAGUAGAGGUGGGCGGAAUUCGUGGUGUAGCGGUGAAAUGCUUAGAUAUCACGAAGAACUCCGAUUGCGAAGGCAGCUCACUAGACUGUCACUGACACUGAUGCUCGAAAGUGUGGGUAUCAAACAGGAUUAGAUACCCUGGUAGUCCACACAGUAAACGAUGAAUACUCGCUGUUUGCGAUAUACAGUAAGCGGCCAAGCGAAAGCAUUAAGUAUUCCACCUGGGGAGUACGCCGGCAACGGUGAAACUCAAAGGAAUUGACGGGGGCCCGCACAAGCGGAGGAACAUGUGGUUUAAUUCGAUGAUACGCGAGGAACCUUACCCGGGCUUAAAUUGCAACAGAAUAUAUUGGAAACAGUAUAGCCGUAAGGCUGUUGUGAAGGUGCUGCAUGGUUGUCGUCAGCUCGUGCCGUGAGGUGUCGGCUUAAGUGCCAUAACGAGCGCAACCCUUAUCUUUAGUUACUAACAGGUCAUGCUGAGGACUCUAGAGAGACUGCCGUCGUAAGAUGUGAGGAAGGUGGGGAUGACGUCAAAUCAGCACGGCCCUUACGUCCGGGGCUACACACGUGUUACAAUGGGGGGUACAGAAGGCGGCUACCUGGUGACAGGAUGCUAAUCCCAAAAACCUCUCUCAGUUCGGAUCGAAGUCUGCAACCCGACUUCGUGAAGCUGGAUUCGCUAGUAAUCGCGCAUCAGCCAUGGCGCGGUGAAUACGUUCCCGGGCCUUGUACACACCGCCCGUCAAGCCAUGAAAGCCGGGGGUACCUGAAGUACGUAACCGCAAGGAGCGUCCUAGGGUAAAACUGGUAAUUGGGGCU